AACGAACGCUGGCGGCAGGCCUAACACAUGCAAGUCGAGCGAGGACUUCGGUUCUAGCGGCGGACGGGUGAGUAACGCGUGGGAAUGUGCCCUUCUCUACGGAAUAGCCCUGGGAAACUGGGAGUAAUACCGUAUACGCCCUUUUGGGGAAAGAUUUAUCGGAGAAGGAUCAGCCCGCGUUGGAUUAGGUAGUUGGUGGGGUAAUGGCCUACCAAGCCGACGAUCCAUAGCUGGUUUGAGAGGAUGAUCAGCCACACUGGGACUGAGACACGGCCCAGACUCCUACGGGAGGCAGCAGUGGGGAAUCUUAGACCAUGGGGGCAACCCUGAUCUAGCCAUGCCGCGUGAGUGAUGAAGGCCUUAGGGUUGUAAAGCUCUUUCAGCUGGGAAGAUAAUGACGGUACCAGCAGAAGAAGCCCCGGCUAACUCCGUG
rnacentral:rRNA from 1 species